rnacentral:rRNA from 1 species
CCUACGGGUGGCAGCAGUGAGGAAUAUUGGUCAAUGGACGCAAGUCUGAACCAGCCAUGCCGCGUGCAGGAAGACGGCUCUAUGAGUUGUAAACUGCUUUUGUACGAGGGUAAACGCAGAUACGCGUAUCUGUCUGAAAGUAUCGUAUGAAUAAGGAUCGGCUAACUCCGUGCCAGCAGCCGCGGUAAUACGGAGGAUUCAAGCGUUAUCCGGAUUUAUUGGGUUUAAAGGGUGCGUAGGCGGUCUGUUAAGUUAGAGGUGAAAUCCUGAGGCUCAACUUAGGAAUUGCCUCUGAUACUGGUCGUCUAGAGAGUAGUUGCGGUAGGCGGAAUGUAUGGUGUAGCGGUGAAAUGCUUAGAGAUCAUACAGAACACCGAUUGCGAAGGCAGCUUACCAAGCUACUUCUGACGUUGAGGCACGAAAGCGUGGGGAGCAAACAGGAUUAGAUACCCGAGUAGUC